rnacentral:lncRNA from 1 species
GUACUUUUUUUUCUAGAAAAUUCUGAUUUGACCAGAUUUCAGUCCUACUACAAACCAAAAUAAUCAUACUAAUUUAAAAUCCCAAUUAGGGGUGUUGUGUGAAUAGACUGAUUGUGGGGGUUUUGUUUGAAACAACCAUUUGUCAUGCAAAAGAAAUUCAGAAUUCUGUAUGAAGUUGGAGCAGCCUUGUGGUCUGAGCAUUUCCUGAGAUUUUAAUGCAAAGAUUUGGCAGUCUUGAAAAGUCCACAGUCCAAAGUACUGAACUUCUCCAAGGUGGGUGUUCCUUUCUUUAUUACUGAAGCUAAUUCUCAUUGGAAAGAGACUUAUGUGUGGAUAAAUGAUAGUAGCUACCUGAAAAUAGCAUCCAAGUAUCAGAUUCAGUGAGCAGAAAGCAAACGGAGGACAACUUAAUACCAAACACUUUAUUACUUAUGCCUGUUAUUUACAUUAUUUACAUAUUGCACAUUAGCUGGAAUGUUUUAUACAUUUAUUAUAUAAAGUAAAUUAAUGGCAGCUUGUGUUUGUGUACAAAAUCCAUGCUCCACUGUCCCCAAAAAUAUUUCUACUUGGAAUUACAUUUCUGGUUGUCAUGCAAUUAGUACUCCCAGGGUACAAUGUGACCCCAAUGCAAGUUUGUUUUAACCAAACUUUAAAAAAUUUGCAUAAGCAUGAAGGAUAUCAAGUGACCACAACUACUGUGGAGAAGAUCUUUAGUAGUUCUAGAUGUACUAACAAACAUUCCUUAAAACAAUAGAACAUCAAUUUUCUUGGUGAAAUACUUGUGUUUAUGUAAUUUUUGGCAGCAUUACACAUCAGUUGUGGUGUGUUUUUAAGUAUGGAACAUUAUGUAUUACUGGCAGUUAUGCUACUGUAAAGAGAAUGUCAAUCUGCAAACUUGACAACAUACAAAAUACAUGUUAAAAGAAUUAUGGGAAGUAGUCUGUCAAUCUGCAAAAAUAAAUCUCUUGUUCACAAUGGAAUAUGUUAUAAAGGUAAUAAGUUCUAUUUCCCUGUUGGUUUCCAAGGCACUUCUCUUGGUUCUUGAUGUUUCUUUUAAUGGUAACAGUACCUGGUGGAUAAAAAGAAAAAAGAAAAAAAUUGCCUGUCAUAAUUUUUAUACUUAGAUAAAAGUGUUUAAGAAUGCUGUUAGCAUAACUAAAAUAGUAAGUAAAUAAUUCUGGAGAAUUCAGUAAUAAAUCUUCACGAAGAUCUAACAGUGAGUGUAGCUCUACUAAAUUAAGUGUUUUGUUUUGUUACUCAAGUCUGAGUUCCAGAAAUCAUUCUUGUUUUUGUGCUGGUUCAUUUCAGGUAGACAGAAGAGAUUGGAAUACUACAGUUCUACCAGUUGAUAAUAUGCUUGCAGGUAAGUUUAGCCUAUACCUACAUCUGCAGCAGUAAGGACAAAAAGUGAAUAAACAAGGAUAGCAUCAAUAGAAUCAUAGAAUAAAUAGCCUGAGUUGAAAAGGACCACAAUGGUCAUCUAGUUUCAACCCCCCUGCUAUGUGCAGGGUCACCAACCACCAGACCAGGCUGCCCAGAGCCACAUCCAGCCUGGCCCUGAAUGCCUCCAGGGAUGGGGCAUCUACAGCCUCCUUGGGCAACCUGUUCCAGUGCGUCAUAAUGCCUUGCUAUCAGGAAGCUGUUGGUACAAUGUUUAGUAAUCAUCACGGUAAGGUUGGAAGGAUUUAGGAAGGAUGUGAUGUUUCAUUGGGCCUGUUAGUGAAGAAAUUUAGACUUAUAAACAAGAAACAAAUCAAGUAAUUUGUUGAGAUUCAGUCAUAUAGCUAUUGCUCCUGGAAUCUUCAAAUAGUGAGGCAACACAGACUGAGUAGAAGCUACAACAGGUCAAUUUUCUGCCAGUUCUAAUAACUUUUCCCAGAACAGAUUCUUGGAAUGAAAUUACAUCCAUUUCUAUAGCUGUUUCAAAAUUAUAGAUUUCUACAGUAUGUAUGUACAUGUAUUGUGUAGUGUAGUAAUGUUAAUUCAAAAGUUGUGCAGUGAAGGCUACCACAGCCCCUCUCUCCAGUCCUUUAAGCCAGCUGAGAAAAUGUAAUAUGGCCACCACUGUGUGUACAUAUCCAGAAAUCUAUCUCCAGUAACUUCUAUGUUCACAUUUUCCACAACUGUAUUUUCUAGUGAUGUGACCAUAAAAUGCUGCAAGUAGUGUCUACCCAACUUCAUGUGUUUCUAAGACCACCUGUUAAUGCCCUUAUUGAAGGAAAAUGCCCUAGCUAAGGAAAAAAGGUAUAAAUAUGCCUUACGGAUGUCAGAUGUGGAAAAUAAGAACAAAUCAGGAGUGGAUCCUCUACUAGAGUUCUGCUCAUGCCGCUUUUCAUAGUUGUGAUUUUCAUAUUUUGUAUCUGAACAUACCUAUCUCUGUCACGAUCAAUGUGAACUCUGAUAUUUUGAGUUUCUCUACAUUUUCUACUGCUUAAGUGUAGCUUGUAAUGGUAUCAUUUGAAUGCAAAGUCAGACUUGACGUAACCCAUUGAAAAUCAAGCUAUUGAUGCAUACAGAAAUACUCGUUAGUAUUACUUAAGCGUAUAUUUAAUUCUGCAAUGUUUCUGAAACUAUUAGGAAAUGUAAUAAUGUUACAGACAAGAUUAAUAUAAUUUAGUUUUCUCCUGGCUUUGUAGAUAGAACAAAUAUUUAUUUUAUGUCCUGCCUUGGUGGGGAAAGUGAUGUAAAUUUUGUCGUGCGUUUUGAUCUGUUUUCCAUAUGUGUGUCCAUACUGUGCUCUAUUUAAAGUGAAAAGUGAUGUCUGAAAACAAAUCAAUGUGCUUUUAGUCUGAUUAGAGUGUGACACAACCGACAAGUUAAACACAGAAUUUAAUAAAUAGUUUGUUCAUUACUAACGGGAAUAUGCAGCUUACCAAGGCUGGAAAAACUAGAACUGAUUGAACUUACUUGAGCCAUACCUGCUCUCGUACAGAUACCUGAUCAAAGUCAGUGGGUCUUAGAUUCUCAGUGCUCAGGUAAAUUUCACUAAAUUUCUCUAUCUGUAGUAUUCUCAGAGUUUUAUCCCUAAUCAGUCUGUUGCUGUACUUCUUUAAAUUUCUUAUAAUCUGUGUUACAUGCAUCAGUCUAGAAAAAUUAGACUGGAAUUUAGGAUAGUCAAGUAGUAAUGUUAAUGGAGAUCCUGAAUGCUACUUGACUGCCAUAGGCACACAGCUCCAUUUUCUUUAACUCUUACUUUUUGUUUUCCUUUGCUAAUGCAAAUAAUAACAAUAAUAAACAUACUGUAAAGGCACACUACUGCUUUCCUCAUUUGGUUCUAUUCAUUAUCUGUGCAUGAUGUUAAAUUCUGAGAAAGAACAAUCCAAGAGAGGAAGUUAGUAUUUUAAGUAUCAGUAUAAAUUGUAAAACAUUGCACCAACAGGGCUCUGUAGCAGAAUUUCCUUUUGCUAAUAUCUGAAAUUCCUGAAUAUCUGAUAUUUGAAUAUCUGAAAUAUUUGCUACUAUCUGAAAUUCCUUUUCCUUCCCCAUCAAUCAUUGCCCAGGUGGAAGGUGGCUCUAGUGGGAGCAUGAGGGUAUCCAUACAGCAAAGAUAAAGCUGUUGGUGUUACGUCUGGUGCUAGCCACAGAAAUCCCCUAGUAAAUAAAAUUCAAAAUUGCCUAGUAAUAAAGUUGAAUGAUACCACAGUGGUAACCAGUUAUGCAGGCCACCUACUUAUUUCAAAGAAGUGGUUCUGAUAAAGUCUUAAAUUAGUUUCCUUGGGAAUUAUUUCCUGCCACCAAGCAGAGGUGAUAUAAUAUGUCAUGAGAAGUUGUAUAUGACAGAUCAACAUAUACUUUCUAGAACAAAAAGUGUUUGUUUUCACUGGAUAAUAUGCAAAACUCACAUCUGAAUUCCAACUUCACUUCCUUUAAGAAAUGAAAAUGUCUAUGAUGUUUCUUUAGUGCACUUGGUCUUAGUCUGAAUAAGAAACUGUAAGAAAGCAAUUAAAGACUGCUGUUCCCCAGUUAGAAAAGACUUGAAGCAAAACAUAAGUAAGAACCCACUAUUUCUGCUUAAAGAUUGUUUGAAGUAAUGCUUAUACAAUAUGGUGUACAGGAUUGGGAUGUCCAGUAUGUUAUUUGUUUUAUCCUUAUGUAUUUAAAGUUUCCAAAUUUCUCUUGUACUUUCAGCUUUCUUAACAUACGAGUACAGUUAACACAUCUUAAGAAGUUUACACAGUUUUAUUUUUUAAUUUACAAAGAAAUUUUUAGUUAUCAGUAUGCUUUAGCUUACUUGGAUUUUUAUAAAGAAUCUUUGACCUUCUUAUGUAUAUAUAUUUAUUCUUGCCCUGUAAUGUACAGUAUUAAGCAAGAAACAUUGUCUUUAUUGCUUUUAUUUAAAAUAUUGCUAGUUGUAUCUGCUUUUCUGGGAAAUAAAUAACCAGUAGAUUUUUAAUGUACUUUUUGUAUUACAGUUCUCUUUCUCACCCUUCAGUCUCGUAUUUAGUACUUAAAAACUAUUUAACUAGUUUUAUCUUGUUCAUUAGAAGCAACUGUAGAAACUUUAGAAGAAGUUAAUAUAUAAGCAGUUGUGUGUAAGCACUUAGAACAGAAAUAUGUAAUCAUACAUUCAAUUGCAGUCUGCAGUCCUUAUGGUACCAGGAGGUGUUAAGAAUGCAUCAUGAGAUCACCACUGGUCUCUAGCAAACACCUGGUCAUGGAAAUGGGAGAGUGCCAAUAGUAGCACCUUGUGGUUUUCAAACAAAUGUAGUAAAAUGUGACUGAAGCCAAAGUGAUCGUGACAAAUGCUGCCAGGGAGGCUGGAUUUUCAGACUGAUCCUUGUCUUUUGCCACAAAUAUACAAGUUCUUCAUUGAGAACUUCAGGUGAAUGCUUCAGGAGUCUUGUUCCUGAUGCUCAUUAAUUUUCACUGCAGACAAUGUAAUAGUUGUUGGUUAUACCUGUAUGGCAGGGCAAGCAUUACAUAUGGAAGCUGUUAGCAAAGUCAGAGAAGAAUGAGGCUGAAGGAGAGAAUACAGAAUAUUGAGGAUAGGACUCCAGCAUAGUUCUGUUGAGCACAGGGUACUGCAGAAUAAAACUAGUUAGAGUUGAAACUAGUGGCAAACAAGGAGUACAGUCUGGGUUGCUUAUCAGAAAAGGGACUACUGUGUGAUGUGUUAAUGUAGACAUGCUGCUCUGGAUUGACUGAUGCUCCCUGAACAAGUAAAAGGGAUCUAACUGGGACCCUGUGUUGCUCAGAUUUUUGGGAUGAGCAAACUUUGAAAGUAUACUCUAAAAAGUAGACAGGAAAGGAAGCCUAGUGACAUAUAUGUAGGAUAAAUGAGACGAAGGUGUUCUCUACUACUUAGGAAUUAGUUUAAGCUUUAGAAUUGAUACUAACUAGUAGAUUUAUGACAGAAACAAAACAAUGAACAUUUCCAGGCUAUUAAAAAAACCUCUUAACCUAGAGAGCCAUCUUAAGCAAGAAUAGUUUUGAACUCUUGUACUGUGUUCAAAACUUUAAAACUGCUUGAAAACCCUCUGUGGAGAAAAAUGAUAGAUUGUUAAAUACAAUCCAAACCCAACCCCUACCUUUUUCUACAGCUCAGUCCAUGAAAUGAUUAAAACAAAUAAAGCCUGCUUUGUACUUCCCUGUUUGAAUCAUAGAAUCACUCAGGUUGGAGAAGACCUUAAAGAUCAUCGAGUCCAACCAUGACCUAACCAUACUACCCUAACAACCCUCCAUUAAAUCAUGUCCCUGAGCACCACAUCUGAGUGGAUGUGUUAACCACACAAAAAUGAACUGAUACAGUGGAAAAGAUUUGGGUAGAAAAGAUGCUUCAUUUUAUGGGGACACCAGCAUGGAUCACUAGGCACAUGAGAUAAAGAAUAGCCUUUCUCUCCACUAAUAAAUAUUGCUUAAGACUUCUGACACUAUUGUUUGCGUAUCUUUGAGGAGGACUACAGAAGAGGAGGCAUGUGGAGACUUUCAGAAGUGCAAGUCAGUUAAGCAAAGAAGUUGCUUGGCAAAAUAAGAUGGAUGGAGUUUUUUUUAAAAGACUUUCAUGUUGAGUGAGAACUACUAUAAUACCUAGUUUGUGCUUUCAGUGUAGGAUGUAAUGAUACAGAUGGAACUUCCAAAAGAAGGGAAGAAAAAAACUCUCUGCUCCGAUGUAUCUGCUUGCUAGUCAUGGUAAUAAAACUAGUCACUCGUCUGUCACUGGUGAAUAUUAUUAUAUAAUAGCCAAUCUCCUCCUUGCUUUCCUUGAAAUGAAAGGUUGAAUCCAUGGAAUUCCUUCUAGUUAGGUUAAGAAAUGUACCGAUUUGCUAAAUUUUAUUUGUCUUACUACUAUAUGCAGUUGUUUCCACGAUUCCAUCCCUGAAUACACAAUGUGAGGGUAAAAAGAUUCCUUUCUAUGGCUGCAUGUUUCAUACAGUGACAUCAAGUCAUGUAACAGUCAUUAGAACUUAGAAACCUUCUGCUUUGAAGCUGGGCUGCUUUAGGAAGUCAGGCAGAAAAUACUAACAGGAAUGUUAAGGUUAGCAUAAAGUCAGAAUGCUGAAUUACAUCUAAUUAUUUAAUAUAUUAUCUCUGCUCUUGCCAUUAGAAGAGUAUUUUUUAAAAAUCUAGUUUGAAUCCUUUCUUGAAAAUUUAAGCAAAUUACCUCUCAUUUAACCACACUGGGUAAAGAGAAUGGCUUAUGAAACCUUUUAUGAAACUGAAUAGCUCAAUUAUGUUUUCUCAUACUCAUCUUUUCUUCCCAAUUCCUUUUAGCUCUUCUUGUAAAUUAUGUUUUCUUUGGUCAUGCAUGUUGCUCUUUUUCAGACUCUGACCAAGAAGCACCUGUAUGUCUUCAAGUGUGGGGUCCUCAAUUAGAUGCAGUAUUCACAGUGAUUAUUUCAGGUGUUUUAUAAACAAUGUUUCUAUUUAUCAAUUCCAUCUUGUCUUUUUGCCUUUUUUUCGAGUGUGACACAGUUGACUCAUGCUUAGUUUGUGAUCCACUAUAAUCCCUACACUUUCUACAGAACUAUCUAUGUAGCAAUUCAUAAUUUGCCAUAUAUUUCUGCAGUUGACUUCUGCUCCUUGACUUCUUAAUUCUGCUUUCCCUCAUAUUUUAUCCUGGUUCUAAACUAUUCAGCUAAUUUUUCAAGAUUAUUAUCAAAUUCAGUAUUUUCUGCUGGUUGUGUCUGCUGUCAGAAGUGUAGAAGUAUACUAACUGUCUGCUGUCAGGUUGUGUAGAAGUAUACUAACUUCUACCACAGAAAAAAAAUAAUGAAAAUGCUGACCAAUAACAUAUCCAUAAUGUAGCUGUGUGACUCUGUUCGAUAGUCUUCCAGUUUGACACUGAAGCACUAAUAAUGUGAAUGUUUUUCCAACCAUUUUUCCAUUUUUGUUUAUAACAUCUCCCUCACUUGCUUUUAAGAAGGCCAUGCAAAACAGUUCCUGUGCUUCAAAAAAAAAAAGAAGAAAAAAAGAUCCUUAAGCAUUAUUGCUUUUCUCAGUGACACUGUAAGGUAUAUAUCUUCUUGUAAAGUAUCUGAUAACAUUUGUUACUGACAAAUCCGUAUGGGUUGUUACUUAUUCCUUUGUCAAAGGUCACAUUUCUGUCUGAAGCAAAGACCGAGGACAGAAUUUAAAUUUGUCCUUUUGUAUGAGUUUUGUGUCAGUUUUCUAGAAGUACAGAUCAUUUGGAAGAACUGUUUUUUGGAGCAUGCUGAGAUCCCUCAAAGUACUUCUAGGAAUUAGUGGUACAUCUAAGCAAAAAGGGAGAAAAUAACCAUAGGCAUGAAAAUCCCAAGAAAUCUGAGCAGCUUAGUGUUAGUUUAUUAAUGCUACUAAUACAUUUUAAGUACCAUAAAAGCACCUGCAACCUAUCUGCAUUUAUAAAGCUGUCUUGUGUGUAACUACUUAUAUAUUAGCUUAUGCUAAAAUGUACCCCGUAGAUCUACAGCUGCACGCAUAAAAGGGCUGCUGCUACCAAUAUGAGUGAUUGUAUGCUGAAUUAACUCUUGAAAAAUAAGCUACAGCUGUCUUUUGUUCUGUAACAACAAAUUCACUAUUUGCUAACUGUAUAAUGCUAUAAAUAAUUCACAGCUGAUGCGCAUGGACUUAUUAUAUAAUGACUUCCAGUAGGGGGUAGCCUUUAUUUACUGCCACUGUUUGCCAGAUUAAGCUAGUUACUCCAGAUAUUCUGAAAGAGGAAUAUCUUAUCCAAAGAAAGGUAUUAUGAGUUUUCAUGUAUGAAACAAAAUCCACAGCUUUGCUGUUCAGUGGAAUGUCGUUACUGCUCUUAGAAAAGCUUACCUUAUCCCUCCAUGCACAUCGGGCUUACUGCCAACCGAGUAAGAAGCCUGGCACAUCUUUUAUAGUCUGUCAUGAAAGAAGAGCAUAAAUGCAGACAUUACUAAAGUAACCGAUUUUUCUUUUAAAAAUCAAAGUCAAUAAAGGUGUGCAGAUCACUGCUGUAAUUAAGUUUAAUGAACAACUUAGUUUGAAGCAGUAUAGAAAUCUGUUCCUUGGACUUAAAAAGCUAGUGUGUAAAAACUUUGUAACUGAAAGUUGAUCACAAAAGCAGAAUAAAGUAUCUCUUAGUUGUUCAUGCUACUAAGCUACCCAAAAUACUGAAAGUUAUGACAGCAAAAUAGUUUUGUGCUGGCUCCCACGUUGUUGCAGCAUCAUAGAUGCUUUUAUCUUUCAAACGCAAAAUAAGAACAUAGAAUGAACAGUAAGCUUAACCUGAAAUCAGAAUAUUAUCAAAUAUUAUCAGAAAGUGAUAUCACACUGUGUGCAAAGCACUGAAGUUGUUUAUUUCAGGUUUGUAGAAAACAGUUUCUUUAAGAAGAUGGUAGUCUGUCCAGUCCAGUGACUGAUGCUGAUUUUCAUUCAGCAUUAUUUUCAUUAAUGGGUAACUACAUCCUACACUUCUAGGGAUGCUAUGUUAACAGUCUUUUAUCUCACAGCAUAGGUAUACUAUAAUAACCAUUUGUACAAAUUAUCCUCCGUUAUCCAGACACUACGUUGGUAGGUAUAUCACCUGUCAGAAGGAAAAGGCUAAUUCAGACAUAAAAGCCAACUAGUUUCUAGCUGCACAGCCUGAAGUACUUGUUAGUACAGUCAAAUGAUAUUUGCGAUGUGAUCCUUAUGAAAAAGGUAAUAUGACCACUUCCUUAUUUAAAACACACUAGUUAUGAACAACUCCAUCGAUGUAAACCAUUACAUUAUCUGUAAAUCUUUAUAUUUCCAAGGCAGUCUUAAUAUGAGGCCUUAUGAAUAGGGAGAAAGUCUGCAGGUCUUACCCAAUAUGUCUUUAAAAUAUAUUUAGCUGAAAUAUUUAUUAAUACUUGAAACUUGGAAUCAAGAACUCCUGUUUCUAUUCCCAGCUCUGCAACUGACCCAACUGGUUGACCUCAGACAAGUAAAAUAAAGUGUGCUUCCAUUCUGAAAAGGCUGUGCUAAAAGAGCAUCUUAUUCACGAGGUCCAUCUUGGUAUGAAUCUGAAGUCAUGUAUACUGAGUGAUAAAUGUUGAUUUCUGAUUUAUUUGAAAUUCUUUGUGCUGUCAACACUGAUGAGAUAUCAUAAUAUGAAUUUGCUUCUUUGUACCCAUCAGCUGUUUUUUGUUUGUUUGUUUGUUUCACUAAGCCUUAGAAAGUAUUUUUGCAAUUUACUGAAGUGAAAGGUUGCGAAGUCAACGUGACUAAUAGACUGGUGACUGAACUUUGAAAAUAUGUAAUGCCUUUAAAGCAUGUUAUAGAAUCACAUAGCAGCUGAGGUUGGCAGGGCUCUCUGGGUCCAUCUGGCCCAAGUCCUGCUCAAGCAGAGACACUCAGAGCAGGGUACCCAGCACCACAUCCCAACGGCUCUUGAAAAUCUCCAUGGAGGAGAUCCUGCACCCUCUGGGCAACCUGUGGCACUGCCAUUGCAUGUUCUACAUAGAUAAUUAAUGAAAAGGAAAUAGCCCCAACUGGAUUCCUGUUCCUAUUUUGAAUUUGCAGCACUAGAAGUUACAUAUGAUAGGUUUAGGAGACAAGUCAUGUUCCUAUGAAAAAAAGACACCUUUGAUUUCGAACCAAAAAAGGUGUAUGCAUAAAUAGCUGAGGAAGCAGUGUUUACAGUCAUUCUAUUCACAGUUAGUUGUCUUGCCAUUUCCCCUCACUGUAAUAUUAAUGCUGAAGAGCACUGCAAGAAAUACACUCUAGUACUGUGCCACAACUGGUAUUCCAUAGAGUUACUCUACUUCAGAGUUCUCUGUUGUUUUAUGAAAAUUAGCCUUUGUUUUUAGCACUUACAGGCUGGGAUGGUGCAGUCCCUUGUAUUGUGGUAAAGCCGAUGAAAGUGUUUACUACAUUUUGGGCUGAAGUAGAGUGGACCUGAAACAGAAGGAAAAAAUAACUUAAGAAUCACCAUAGCUUGCAGGAGGAAUAGCAUAGCUUAUGAUACAUACCCCCCAAAAAAAAGGAUACCAAUGCAAAAUUAAGACAUACCUGUUAAGUGCUUUAAAAACUUGUCUUUCAUCCUCAGAUCUCUGGGAACUAUUUCUGAUGGAAAGAGAAAAAAACGGUCACUGCUGUAGGGACGGUUCUUGGCAAGUAUAGGAAAAAGGAAUAAAUUCUGACCUGCAGCCACCACCACCACCACCUCUUGACAGAUGCACAGGAGUCAAACUCAUUUGCACACAGUAGGCCAAAUGCCAAACACUUGUUUUACCUUCAAAGCCACUGUGAAACACCCUGUGGUAUUAAACAGGUAACGUCUGUUAGGUGUGCAGUCAUCAAUGGGGUUUGACAGAUAACUAACAAAUACAGUUUAGCUCUCCAUCAAUUGCAUUUUCCCAUUUACCUACUUUAAAACCUCUAUAAAAUUUUGAUUCCCAGUUACUGAGAAAUGGCUUGUUCCAAUACUGGUAAGGAUCCAAAGGUAAAUUCGGGUUUGGUUUCAUGCCUUGUCUUCCAAUUUUCUUAUGCAAACAUAUCUAUUCUUUUGCUAGAGGUGUGUUUGUAUGAGCACUGUCCUGCUGUAAUCAUGAAACUGUAUUCAUCUACUUACAGGAAUCUUUUUUUUUUUUUUUUUUUUCCCCUCAAGCUGUAAAUAAAAUUCACAGGAAAUGAUUCCAAGCAAAUUGCUCUCUUUUGGCUCUCUGUGUUUGUGGUUUACCACCUUGCAUAUUGUGUUCAGCAGAUGGCAAAAUGAAACUGGUUUACUGAAAUCCAUUUUAGCCCUAACCCUUCCCUGUGUCUUCCUGAUUUACAGCUAUCUUUGAUUGCUUUCCGUUACAAACUCAGUGCUGAUAGCAGAGUGCUGCUUGUGUAUGAUACCCUACGUGGUGUUUUAUUUAUUUGACCAUAAAUGCUUGAGCAGCCUUUUUCAUUCCCCUGCCACCUCUUAUCAGAUAUAAAGCAGAGAACAUUUCCAUCCAGAUCUGAUUCACUUGUGAGGUUAGACACUUCUCGAAAGUCAUUCUUCAUUUACUUCUAACUUUAGUCAGUGUAAGUAAAAUUGACCUUAUCAUGUUUGACCUAAUUAUGUCAUGAAAAGCAUUAAAACCACACAUGCUUCACUCAGAAAUUUCCCUGGGGACAGACUCACUGGGAAAGUGAUGCCAAAACUCAAAUGAAGAACUCUUGAGCAGUAGUCCCUUUUCCGAGUUGCAGGGAGUAACUCUAUUAUGACAGGAUGAAAGCUUCUGCUGAGGACUCAGUGACACCAAUACCAAUGUUUCCGUUCUGUUUUGGUUUUACAUCUGCAUUGGUAACUGAUCAGUGCAAGCCAAAUGUUUUGCACCAAUAUGCUGAUGUUGGAUGGCCAAAAACUGCUCGUGUUUCAAGUUGAGUUGUGCACAUUAUGGUUCACUGCUCAGCCUGCUGUAACUUUUCGACAUUUAUAAAACAACAUGUUUUCACUGUGCUGAUCUUAAAUGGAACAAAAUUCUCUUCCUUUGUAUAUUGGUUAAUCAUCCAGAUGGGGAUAUAACAUUUUCAUGACAAUCACCAACAAAUGCAAAUCAUGAGGAUAUUUGGAUAUGAGUGAGUAAAGAAAAGGUACAAAGGAGCUCUAUGAGAUCAAUAAAGGAAAAACAGAUAACGUACUAGCAAAAUAGAAGACAGAUUGGAAAAAGGUGAGCAGACAUCUGCUGGAAAGUAUUCAGAAAGUCACUUUCAGUAGGAGGAGUGAGAUAGGCAGCAAUGCUCCAGGGGUUUAAGAGUGAACAAUAAAUGAGACAUGGCAGCAGAAGUCACAUCAGCUUGCAGCUGGAUGCACACAAACACACUGUGAAACCGAGAUGUAGACCUCCACGCACCCCUUUGUGCUCGGUAUGACUGCUUCCGGACUGCUCCGGACAUCCAGCCCUGGAUGGGUGUCUUAUGGACAAAUGGAACCUCAUGGAGGUCAUAGAGGAGCCACUCAGCUGAGCAGAACUGACUGAAGGAGUGACUCAAAGCAUUCAGAGCUUGUGUGGUGACAGAGGAGUACACUGCUGCAGUUCCCUACCACUUAUCAAACCUGUUACCUUCAGAGUACAAAUGGGACUGACUGAAGCUGGGCAAAAAGUUAAAUGAAACGACAGAGCUCCUGUUAUCUAUCACUGCAUGAGCGUAGAAUCCUGCAGGGGAAUCACUACUAGAGCGAUUUCCAAGAAACACUUAAACCAGGCACAUUUUUAAAAAUGCUAACUAACAAGAGAAAGAGCAUUUUCGUAGCUUCUUUGAUCUCACACAUUUCAGUCUUUUCCCUCGUUAGUGGGUUCUGUUGAAAGCCCACACACAGGAAGUCAGACUCAGAUGAGUACAUUAUCCAGAGGGUAUGAGACUCAGAUGUGAAUGGAGUUUUUCUAUUCCAAAUGUGCCGCCUGCAUCAGUUUCUGAUACCAAAGCGAGGCUGCAGGUAUUUUGGGUGGUGAGUCCUCGGUCUAAAACUGGUAACCUGAUGUCUGAGUCCCCAACACCCUGCGGAACCACAGAGAUCUAAGCCACGGGCUGGGACUUACCAACUCUCUGCUCAUCCUGGUAUCCUCCGUAGUCAGCCACUUCCCUCCGAUCCAAGCUGUAGUCGUGCUUGGAGAAGUACUGCACCCCACUGUCCUUCUCCAGGCGGUACCUCUUCAAUUCCUGAAUGAUCUCCAUGAUGAGAUUUAAGAGACUUUGCCUGUCCUUCAGAUCCGCGGCGUCGGUUUUCUCUUUGCAGUAUCCUGCCGAGAGCACCAAGAGCACCAGCCCCAGCAGCCCAGGAGACCUCAGUCCGCUCAUCGCCGGCUGUCCUGCGGGCUGAGCGCGCCGGCGGAACGGAACGGGAGCUUCCCUGUUUCACUGCGUGUCCGCGCCGAGGCGAGCUGCGUGCCCUCGGGCAGCGGAGGGGAGUCCUGGUUGCCGGCGGCUCGCCGCCCCCCUCCCGGCCCUCUGCUCCCUCCGCAUCCAACACCUUACUCCAUCGCCGCC